rnacentral:rRNA from 1 species
UGGGCAACCUGCCCCUAGCUCUGGGAUAACUGCGGGAAACUGUAGCUAAUACCGGAUGUGACACGAGACUGCAUGGUCUUCGUGUGGAAAGAUUUAUCGGCUAGGGAUGGGCCCGCGGUCUAUCAGCUUGUUGGUGGGGUAAUGGCUCACCAAGGCGACGACGGGUAGCCGG